UGAUGAGAGCUUGCUCUCUGAUUUUAGCGGCGGACGGGUGAGUAACACGUGGGCAACCUGCCCUACAGAUGGGGAUAACUCCGGGAAACCGGGGCUAAUACCGAAUAAUCAGUUUGUCCGCAUGGACAAACUCUGAAAGACGGUUUCGGCUGUCACUGUAGGAUGGGCCCGCGGCGCAUUAGCUAGUUGGUGGGGUAAUGGCCAACCAAGGCGACGAUGCGUAGCCGACCUGAGAGGGUGAUCGGCCACACUGGGACUGAGACACGGCCCAGACUCCUACGGGAGGCAGCAGUAGGGAAUCUUCCACAAUGGACGAAAGUCUGAUGGAGCAAUGCCGCGUGAGCGAAGAAGGUUUUCGGA
rnacentral:rRNA from 1 species